ACUGCUGAGAAGUCCUAUAAUAGGACGAAACGCGCGUCCUGGAU
rnacentral:hammerhead_ribozyme from 1 species